rnacentral:lncRNA from 1 species
UAGCCUUCAAGUUGAAUCAGGGAAGGCAAAAUCAGAAUAUGUAAGAAGGCAUGUAAAUUCAUGUCAGCAUUCAGUUUAAGUAGAGCUUGUUCCCGUUGGAAAAUAGAAUUUUACUGACAGCUUACAUUGUGUUGCUAAUUAGCUUCUAUCACCUGCUUCCCCUAUUAGUGACAGCAUUAGGUGGUGGGAUGAUGGCAUUGAGAGAUUUCUCUGAGUUGAUUGAUCUUUGAUUUUCAUGUUGUCUUGUCUCUUUGUUUUUGCAGCAUUGUUGCAGGAAGACAAAUUAUGAGUGGAGUCUAGGCCUGCCCUCCGUUUCUGAUAAAGGUGGAUCAGGAAACCUCAAAUAAAAUUAUGAGCUAAGCAUUAACUCAACCACACCACAAUCACCUUGGUCCCCUUAGACUGAGGGUGGAUGAGGGCACCAAUAAUAGACAUUGCCGAGCACAAGGAAUUUGUAUUUCUCGUCUUGAAGCCAAUGGAAGUAUUAGUGUCGCAUUAUCCUCCUGAGCUGGGCAGUGGUGGCAGACGGUACCCUUCUCUAACCCCCAGCCAGGUGGGUAUUGCUCUGCUGGUCACAUCCGUAGACUGGUAUCUGAACAAGGCAUGUGUACACAUCUGCUCUCCCUGGCCCAUGGUUCUCUUCUGA